UCAUGACCCAAGCCAAAGUCAGGCGCUUAACUAACUGAGCCACCCAGACACCUCCCCGCGGGUUUUUUUUUUUUUUAAAUCGAGGGAAUAUAAGCAUACUAUUGGAUAUUUGGAAAAAUAACAGGAAAAGAAAUUACCCAUAAUCCUACAACCCUGAUCACCUGUUAUAGGCAUUUUGUUGUAUUUCCUUCUGUUUUUUUUUUCUCUGCAUGCUUCUCAUGUAAUGAAAACCACAGUGUUUAUAUUUUACAUCUUUUUAAUAUUAUGUCUUAAGGGUUUUAUGUGGUUUUCAUAACUUUUAUGCUUAAUGGCUGCAUCAUUAUCCAUUGAGUAGAUUUGACAAUUGUGUCCCAUUUUCCUUUUACUGGUCAUUUCAGCCAUUACUCCUUUUUGUUGUUGCAAGCAAUGCUGUAGUGAAUAUCAGUGUAAUUUUAACAUAAUUUGGAUUGUUCUUUAUUUUUUUAAUCAAUUUAUUUACUUAUUUUUAUUAUGUUUUUUACAGAGGGAUAGUCCAAUGGGGGAGAGGAGCAGAGGGAGAGAGAGAGAGAAUCUUUUUUUUUUGUUGCUUUAAUUAUUAUUUUUAAUUUUAUGCAAAAUAUGCAUAAUAUUUUAGGAUCCCAUGCCAUUUAACUGUUUUUAAGUUGAGAAUCCUUUACACUUUGAACACCUCAAAUGUAAGACUCAGGGAGGUCUUUCUGACAAAAAAAAAAAAUCUCAAAAAGUUCACUUAAUUUGAAUUUACAUCUUUCUAAUUGUCAUUUUCCUAGGAUGAAAAGAAUCAACUGAUGACAACAAAUGUGUGGCUCAAACAGGUGACACUGUUUAUGGACAGCAAGAGUGGACUUCUGUUUGAAGGCUUGCCCACAUAUGUCGCAUUCAAAGGGGUCCUCUGAUGUGUGAAUUCUAUGAUGUCGAACAAAAUUUGCCUGACGUCUGAAGACUCUUCCACAUUCACUGCAUUUGUAAGAUUUUGCGUUUGGAGGGAUUUGCUUAUGCUGCAAAAACAGUGAUCUCUGACUGAAAGGCUUUCCAUACUCAUCACACUGGCCACGCCUCCUCCCUGUUUGAGCAUUCUGAUCUUGAAUAAGGUGAAGGUUUUGAAGGAAGUUCUUACUGCAUUCAUCACCAAUAGUGGGAAAGGCAAGUCUGUAAAUGUCCACCAAUUUGUUACAUUUACGUAACUUUUCUGAAGGUCCGUUGGCUGUUUGCUGCUUUAUUGCCGAUGUCUUACACGACUCUAAAUCUUUAAAGAUCUUCUGCCCUGGAGUUGGCUUUUUCAUCUUCCAUCUGGCUUCAGAACCUAACCAAAUAAAAAGAAAACAUAGAAAUGACCUGCCCACCACAUCACAGAAGGAAAAAAAAGAAGCCACCUGUGUGUGUGGAAGACACUCAAGUGAAAUGAAGUGCUUGCUUAGUUAUAUUGUCCUGCUAAAGAGGCCCAAAUUCUGAUUUCCACAGGACUCUCGGCUUUGACACCAGAAAGAGUUCUCAAAAUCAACUGAACGACUGAAAAAUGCACAAGUGUGUGUCAGAGAAGUGAGAACUGAGUAAAUACAUCACUACUAUUGGAAAAAUAAAACUUACUCUUGGUACUCAGUGAAGUCACAUAAAUAUAGGAGAGGUGACAUCUUAUACUUUCUAGGUUUCUGGUCCCCUGACCCCUUCCAUCCCAUUGCCAAAAGCCAGCUGGAAGCCA